rnacentral:misc_RNA from 1 species
AUUGGAGUUGGCAAAUGUUUG